GAUCCCAUAAAGCACACUUGAGGGACUCGCUGGGCGUCUGCAGAGCUGGUACACCCUUAAAUGCGGGGAUUGGAGCAAGAUUCGAGGCGGGCGCGGGAGCAGGUGCUUUGUGCCACGCCCACCACACGCCCCAGGGCAGGCCUCUCGCAGGUAUUGGGCUGCAGCAGAAGCCUGGGCCUGCUUGGAGCUUGUCUUCAGCCAGCAUCGCAUCUGCCCUCUGGAGCCCCGAGAUGGCAAAAGAAGAUGUAAAUGUUCUGAACAUGAAGCAUUUCCCACUUUCCUCGAUAACCACCAGUCAAGUUGGGAAGUCAUGAGAAAAGGAGCAGAAAGAAAAUGAAAUGAACCUCCAGCUAUAGUGGAAAAGAGAUGCCUACAUGAAGAAAUGUGCUAAGAAGACUAUAAAUUUCUAAAACUUUUCUAUCACCUCAAGCAGAAACUCUGUAACCACUUUCCAAAAAGUGAUCUUAAGACUUUGCAAGUGUCCCAUGAAUGACAAAUUCAUGGCAAAUUUUGACUGUUUUAUCAAAGCUGGUCAAACAGCACAAAGUUUUCUUUCUGAAAACCUCCUGCAGCUGACACAGAAAGGUAGUAACCUGACAGCUUAGAUGGAGCACCACGUCCAGCAUCACACAACUAGAGAGAAAGCAGUUAUUGAAAUUUGAGAACUACAUAAGAGGUAGAAAAAGAAAUGGAGGUACAAACCAUGUCUAAGCCAAAGAGACAGCUUGUACUUAUUCCUUCACUGCUCGGAGAAAAAUAGUAUCCAAUAUCGAUGAAGUAGGCGCUUGCAAUGACAGAAUUCUGUCAAUACCAACUGGUGGAGUGCAUUCUAUUUGCUUGUCAAUGCACUUUUUGAUAACCAGAGGCUUUGGCUGUGCAUAUACAAUGACAAAUAAAAAGCUCAUUUCAAACAGCCAGGGGCUUCCAAACAUCUCAAUAUUUUUCAUAAUGUGUGAAAAAUAAGGUUUUUUGCUAAUGUCUUUCUCACAUUUUUGUCAGAAAGUUUUAACAAUGUGACAGCAAUUUCUGAAUCUAUAUCGUGUGCCUUAAAUGGCUUGCAUACAUUAAAUAUUCCACUUGAAGUCUGCAUUGCAGGCUGAAUUUUGCUUAUUCCUGGCAUUAUGGUACUAAUGAGAGUAGCUAUAGCUAGAUGUUUUAAGUUACUAGAAGUAAACGGUAAAAGGCAGGUGUUUGGAACACAAUUAAACCACUUAAAUACCCCCAUUAAAAAGGGAAAUGACUACAUUGCAAGUUAGAAAUAAUAUGCUUUGAAAAAAAUUGCUAUUAAGUCCAUGUUAAUAGAACAAUUGGUGGACAGUGCAGAGAAGAGUUCACUGGAGCAUGGGGGUGACAUUUAGUGAGUAUGCUCUUAUUGACUGAUGCCAACCAGCUUCUGAUUUGUUGGAUUCUGUUCUGAUUAGUGGGUAUCUUGUUCUGGUUGAUUGAUUCCUAUCAACUGUUAAAUAUUUAGAUUGACUCCUAAAACAAUUGUUAAAUAUUUUGAAUAUUACCUCCACUUGAGACCAUACUCUAGCAUCAUCUAGCCAACAAAAUCCCAAUAGAGAGCUGUUAUCAAAUACCACAUUUCCUAGCAAUAAAAGGGCAUCCUUGGAUGUAUUUAUUUAUUUCAUUAAGUAUCUUAGAAUAAAUACCAAAAAGAAAGCAAUAGAAUGGAAAGCUGCAAAAUAAUGAAAAAAAUUAUUUAUAAUAGUAAACAACCAUUUACAUAAACGUCAUAUGUGCCAGGCACUGUUUUAAGCACUUUACAUAUAAUACCCCAUUUAAUUUUCACAGCGUAGAUGAGUACUGUUAGUAACAUCAUUCUAUAAAUGAGAAAUUGAGGCACAGAGUGAAUGAUAACUGGCUGAAGUUUACUACCUAAUAAACUGCAGAGAGUGAAUUCAAAUCCAGGGAUCUGGCUCCAGAGUCAUGAUCUCAACUCCUCUUCCAUCUCCAUUACAAAAAUAUGUACAAUUUCAUAUAAACACACAAGUUAAUAAAUAUUUUUUAUUGAGUUUAUUGGGAUAACCCAUUGGUU